UUCGGAGCUGUGCGGCAUUCUGAGCAGGAAUGGCAGUGUGGACCUCUGUGAUGGGACAUCUUGUGGGAUCUCACAGCCAGGUAACUCAGUGGGGGAGGGGCAUGACUAGAACAUAAUGACCACAAAGCCCAUGAUGGUAUGAGAGUAGUGGACAGAAGGGAUUUCUGAAAAACACUUUUCUGAGGCUUUAAUUCAGCUACUGGAAAGGGUUUAGUUCCGUGAAGAAGGGGACUGACUGUUCACAUCUCUUAUUUCCAGUUCUGUGGCAAAGGAGGAUGAAGGCUUACGAGGACUCGUCAGGAAGCUGGAUAACAGAGCGAGCGCAAUGUAAGCAAUUUUGUGUGUGCAUGUGGUCCCAUUACAAGGAAUACCCAAUGGCAAAUGAGCACUAAAGAUCCCUCAACCCACACAUUGAAUGUAUUGUUCCCUGAGAGCAAUUGUAGAUAGAGGAGUGGGUGGGAAGUCUGAAGUCAGGGCAUUGUUUCUGCGUAUCUGAGGAGGCUGGUUUUUGAUAUGUGGGAGCUAGUGGUCGUUAACGCAUUUACCCCCUAUUUGGUGGACUCUGGUUCCCCCAUCUUAAGUGCUGAGUCAGGGGCCUAACCGGGCAGCUUUAACUAUUUGUUUGUUGUAGGUGCUAGAAUAGAAGACCAGAAAAUGAAAUGGUGGAGUUUGAGGCUGGAUAGACAGUUUGAAAGGUACAAAUAAUGGUUUGAAUAAAGAAAGGUAUUAAUGGGUCACCUCAAGUGAAGGCACUGCAAACACAAUGGUAAGUCUUUGAA
ensembl:processed_transcript Gas5 growth arrest specific 5